AUUGAACGCUAGCGGGAGGCUGUACACAUGCAAGUCGAACGAGUGGCGGACGGGUGAGUAAUAUAUCGGACCGUGCACAGUAGCGGGGGAUAACUACGCGAAAUAGUGGCUAAUACCUCAUGCUAUUGGAGCCGCCGAUAUCGGAUUAGCUAGUUGGUGGGGUAAAGGCCCACGAAGGCAACGAUCCGUAGCUGGUUUGAGAGGACGACCAGGCAAACUGGGGAUGAGACAAGGCCCAGACUCCUACGGGCGGCAGCAGGGGGGAAUUUUGGACAGUGGGGGAUACCCUGCUCAAGCCAUCCCGCGUGUAUUAGCAGGCUUUCGGGUAGUAAAGUACUUGUGGCAGAGCAGCGGUCUCUGCAGAAUCAGCACCGGCUAACUACGAGCCAGCAGCCGCGGUAAUAC
rnacentral:rRNA from 1 species